rnacentral:rRNA from 1 species
CAGCAGCCGCGGGAAUACGUAGGGUGCGAGCGUUAAUCGGAAUUACUGGGCGUAAAGCGUGCGCAGGCGGUUGUGUAAGACAGGUGUGAAAUCCCCGGGCUUAACCUGGGAACUGCGCUUGUGACUGCACAGCUAGAGUAUGGCAGAGGGGGGUGGAAUUCCACGUGUAGCAGUGAAAUGCGUAGAGAUGUGGAGGAACACCGAUGGCGAAGGCAGCCCCCUGGGCCAAUACUGACGCUCAUGCACGAAAGCGUGGGGAGCAAACAGGAUUAGAUACCCCGGUAGUCCUGUCUCUUAUACA